rnacentral:rRNA from 1 species
UGGGGAAUUUUGGACAAUGGGCGCAAGCCUGAUCCAGCCAUUCCGCGUGCAGGAUGAAGGCCCUCGGGUUGUAAACUGCUUUUGUACGGAACGAAAAGCCUUUUUCUAAUACAAGAAGGUCAUGACGGUACCGUAAGAAUAAGCACCGACUAACUACGUGCCAGCAGCCGCGGUAAUACGUAGGGUGCAAGCGUUAAUCGGAAUUACUGGGCGUAAAGCGUGCGCAGGCGGUUAUGCAAGACAGAGGUGAAAUCGCCGGGCUCAACCUGGGAACUGCCUUUGUGACUGCAUAGCUAGAGUACGGUAGAGGGGGAUGGAAUUCCGCGUGUAGCAGUGAAAUGCGUAGAUAUGCGGAGGAACACCGAUGGCGAAGGCAAUCCCCUGGACCUGUACUGACGCUCAUGCACGAAAGCGUGGGGAGCAAACA